rnacentral:rRNA from 1 species
ACGCUCGACACCUACGGGAGCCAGCAGUGGGGAAUAUUGCACAAUGGGGGAAACCCUGAUGCAGCGACGCCGCGUGGAGGAAGAAGGUCUUCGGAUUGUAAACUCCUGUUGUUGGGGAAAAAGAGGAUGGUACCCAACAAGGAAGUGACGGCUAACUACGUGCCGNNCGCGAGUAUNGNGGCGNGNGAGAG